rnacentral:rRNA from 1 species
GAUGAACGCUGGCGGCGUGCCUAAUACAUGCCAGUCGAGCGAACAGACGAGGAGCUUGCUCCUCUGACGUUAGCGGCGGACGGGUGAGUAACACGUGGAUAACCUACCUAUAAGACUGGGAUAACUUCGGGAAACCGGAGCUAAUACCGGAUAAUAUAUUGAACCGCAUGGUUCAAUAGUGAAAGACGGUUUUGCUGUCACUUAUAGAUGGAUCCGCGCCGUAUUAGCUAGUUGGUAAGGUAACGGCUUACCAAGGCAACGAUGCGUAGCCGACCUGAGAGGGUGAUCGGCCACACUGGAACUGAGACACGGUCCAGACGCCUACGGGAGGCAGCAGUAGGGAAUCUUCCGCAAUGGGCGAAAGCCUGACGGAGCAACGCCGCGUGAGUGAUGAAGGUCUUCGGAUCGUAAAACUCUGUUAUUAGGGAAGAACAGAUGUGUAAGUAACUGUGCACGUCUUGACGGUACCUAAUCAGAAAGCCACGGCUAACUACGUG